CGGAGGUAAGGAAAAGAAACUAAAAGGUUGUGCUUCUCUAUUCACCACCUCUCCCCUCUCCCCAGCCCCCCAGGCAUGGUGAGAAGCAACUGAGGCCAUUCCAAGGACACCCCUGACCUCACGAGCAUGAAAGAAGCAGCGGCUGUGUUUCCAGGCUCCAGCCGAGGCACCAUCCAAGACCACUCUCGUCCACACGCCCAAGGCACUGCCCUGAGGAGGCAAUGUGGAGUUCAUUCAGGAGAUUUGGGAAGUGGAAAAAGAGGUUCUCCUGCCGCUCUGCAGUACCAACAAGGAACAGUAAUAAGGACAGAAGUUGAAGAUGACUCAAAACACUGAUACUUCCCUGAAGAGCUUGUCCACAGCUUCCUGCUACUGAAAUUCUCUGGUACUUUCUGAUACUUGGUUUUCCAGCUUUGGCUUUUACUAAAUGACUACUACAUAUCCUUCAAUUAAUUUCUUUCUACCCUUGUGAAUUGCCAGAUUAAUAUCUGUAACUUACAACAAAAGGGCCUUAAAUUAUAGACUUUUUAAACAAUGAAGCCUGGAGCUUCACACCUGCUCCCACAUCCGUGACUAGCUCUGGUAUUGGCGUAGAUAAUACCCAAAUAAUUCCCCCUCCCCAAAAAAAGAAUCUGGGUCAUUUCUCUCUCUAGUCUGCCAUGCAAUUCUCAAGUAGACAACACAAACGGCAGUUGCAGAAUCUAAGAGAAAAGGAAUGUUUAAAAAAAAUGUAUCUGUCUUCCAAGCCAUGAAUGAAAUAAAAGAAACUGUGUUCAUAGCACCUGACUUACAUGAUGGCUGUGGGUCAGCCAUCAAUAUGUAGAUAGAAAGAAAAUA